CACAAAAAAGGCUUACACCUAUUUCAGGCAGUCAAAUAAACAAUUCAGACAAGGAGAAGGCAAGCAGUCUUGAAAAAAAGAAACAAAAUCCAACAGUGGACAGUCAAAAUCCAAAAAUCCACAAACAAACAAAGUGCAGGGAACCAAAAACCAGGGCGCUCGACAGCGGUGCAACAUACAAUGACGUACUGACCCUGAACAAACGAAAAACUUGGACUAAAUACACUUAGUUAGGGGCGACACUGAGACACAGGUGCAACUAAUCAGGGUGGGGCAAACAAUCAAGACUGGAGGGAAAAGCAAACAAAGACAGGAAGUAAAACAACAAGACACACGAGGAGAGAAGAACACUUCAAAAUAAUACAGGAAAUAACAGGAAAAAAACCAAAACCAUGACACAUAGCUCUCCAUUAUAACGACCUGUUCCUCUCGACUGAAGUAGGUGGCACGCGAUCGCUCCAUUUUGUGCAGAAGAUAAGUCAAAUGAUGCGUCAAACGCCCCCUUUUAUGGAAACGUACACAGAGCCUGAUAAAGAAAACCUAGUUAACAAAGAAAGACGAUCACCACCGUCGUGAUACCCGUUAUCUCUGAUUGGGGUUUUAGAUUUUGUCGAGCCAGCUAAAGCAAAGGAAGCCUGGCUCUGUCGAACUUGCUUUGUAGUACACCCCUCAGGUGUGAGCGUGAUUAUUUAUGUAAAGAGAUGUUUCGAUCGGUUCACCACCUACUGGCUCCCGCGGGUGAUUGGCUACCUUUGGAUAACGGCUCACCAGUGGCAGCUGGCCAAUAGAGGACACUAGGGCCACGUUGCUAAAAUAUUCAUUCUCAGUUAACUUGUAAUCUUUCUGAAAAGAAAUAUUAAAGGGGCCGUAGCAGGUUCACAACAAUUAGCAGCUUUUAUAUGUUAGGGAACAAAGUGAAUCAAAGGAAAGGAAACAUGUCAGCUGACAUUUCCACUGAUGACUACAUACAAGACAAGUUAUACUAGGAAAGGAGAGUGUCAGUAAAAUGUGCUGAGUGUAAAGUUGUCAGUCGGGGAAUAACACAGGGCUGUGAAUGAGCCCUGUCACUGUGAUCAGGCUCCUCCUUCUGAUCCACCAACUUAGUGUUGAUGAAGACUCAACAGAGAUCACAGCCUUCUUUAUACUCGCUGUAGCUCACAGUUACUCAACACUGCAGACAUGACGCCUCUGUUCAUCUCGGUGUUGCUGGCUGCUGUGUGCCUCGAAUGCAGAGCACAAAAAGACAACGUGUUGCAAACAAAAGAAGAUGUGACUGCUACUGAAGGAGAGGCAGUAACACUUGGCUGUCAAUAUAACAGUAGUUUAACAAGUAAUUAUCUCUUCUGGUACAAACAGGAUGGAGACAACAGCCCAAAAUUUAUACUGAGCCGAAUUAAACUGGACGAAGGGAACACACCAGACGAGUUUAAGGAGAGAUUUUCAUCCACACUGGAUUCCACCUUAAGAUCAGUUCCUCUGAAGAUCCAGAAGCUUCAGCUGUCUGACUCUGCUGUGUACUACUGUGCUCUGCAGCCCACAGUGACAGGAAACACCAAGACUCUGUACAAAAACCUUUGGAGCAAAGACAACAGAAUACUCCACAACGUCCACUAGAGGGAGUCACACACUGUUAACCUUCAGUGGUUUAUUACAGUCUGGAUUCUUUGUACUGAUGACACAAAUUUAAGAAAAAUGAAGCCUAAAUAAUAAAACAAAAAUUCAGGAGAGUGUUUUUAUCCCUUGUUGUCAGCAGUUUCAUGUGGGAACAAUUGAGAGAAAAUAGUUCCCACAUGCUCACAACAAACCUGUGGAUUAGCUUGAG